GGAAUCUUCCGCAAUGGGCGAAAGCCUGAUCCAGCCAUGCCGCGUGUGUGAAGAAGGUCUUCGGAUUGUAAAGCACUUUAAGUUGGGAGGAAGGGCAUUAACCUAAUACGUUAGUGCUUUGACGUUACCGGCAGAAUAAGCACCGGCUAACUCUGUGCCAGCAGCCGCGGUAAUACAGAGGGUGCAAGCGUUAAUCGGAAUUACUGGGCGUAAAGCGCGCGUAGGUGGUUUGUUAAGUUGAAUGUGAAAUCCCCGGGCUCAACCUGGGAACUGCAUCCAAAACUGGCAAGCUAGAGUAUGGUAGAGGGUAGUGGAAUUUCCUGUGUAGCGGUGAAAUGCGUAGAUAUAGGAAGGAACACCAGUGGCGAAGGCGACUACCUGGACUGAUACUGACACUGAGGUGCGAAAGCGUGGGGAGCAAACAGGA
rnacentral:misc_RNA from 1 species